rnacentral:lncRNA from 1 species
UUAUUAUUGCUUAUAGAUUUUCCCAUAUCUUUAACUUAUAGGGAACAAAAAAUAACUCUACUGAAACAGAAAGAAGUCAGAGUCAGGUGGAGUUUCAAGAAUCCCCAUGGAUCUUUGAACAGGAAGAGAUGCUUACCAUUGGGAUAGAAGAAGUGUUUGACAUUCUGCCCCUCUAUGGAGUUCUGCAGCCACACAGUCACCACCAGGUAUCUU